GUAUUGUGUGAAACCUGAGAAGGUAAGCACUCUCUUUGAUUAAGAUAGAAAGGAAAUUAAUGGACUUGCUAACACACAGAUGAUUGUUGGUGCAAGCUGUCUUACACAAUGAUAAUUCUGU